UACGAAGGGGGCGAGCGUUGUUCGGAAUUACUGGGCGUAAAGGGCGCGUAGGCGGCGCCGGAAGUCAGGCGUGAAAGCCCCGGGCUCAACCUGGGAGGUGCGCUUGGGACUCUGGUGCUGGAGUUCGGGAGAGGAGAGUGGAAUUCCCAGUGUAGAGGUGAAAUUCGUAGAUAUUGGGAAGAACACCGGUGGCGAAGGCGGCCAUCUGGACCGCAACUGACGCUGAGGCGCGAAAGCGUGGGGAGCAAACAGG
rnacentral:rRNA from 1 species